CCGUGCUAGGCGGGGAGCUAGCGGUGCCCUGUACCCGAAAACCGCUAUAGCGGGGCUGAAUUCUUGCUUGAGGUUCUUGGUCGGAUAGAUUUGUUUUUGCUGAGCGGUGUUGAUAGUUGGGUUCUAUGCAACCGGGGGCUAUGAACCCCGUCAGGUCCGGAAGGAAGCAGCGGUAAGUAGUAUUGCCGGUGUGCCAUAGAGUUGCCUGGCUGGAGCUAGCUGGUGGAGACAGCUUUCCGCUCUGAGAAACGAGAGCGAGUGCACGG
rnacentral:SRP_RNA from 1 species